AUUGAACGCUGGCGGCAUGCCUUACACAUGCAAGUCGAACGGUAACGGGCCUUCGGGUGCCGACGAGUGGCGAACGGGUGAGUAAUGUAUCGGAACGUACCUUUCAGUGGGGGAUAACGUAGCAAAAGUUACGCUAAUACCGCAUAUUCUGUGAGCAGGAAAGCAGGGGAUCGCAAGACCUUGCGCUGAUUGAGCGGCCGAUAGCAGAUUAGCUAGUUGGUGAGGUAAAGGCUCACCAAGGCGACGAUCUGUGGCGGGUCUGAGAGGAUGAUCCGCCACACUGGAACUGAGACACGGUCCAGACUCCUACGGGAGGCAGCAGUGGGAAUUUUGGACAAUGGGGGCAACCCUGAUCCAGCCAUGCCGCGUGAGUGAAGAAGGCCUUCGGGUUGUAAAGCUCUUUCGGCCGGGAAGAAAUCGUAUCAGCUAAUACCUGGUGCGGAUGACGGUACCGGCAUAAGAAGCACCGGCUAACUACGUGCCAGCAGCCGCGGUAACAC
rnacentral:rRNA from 1 species